rnacentral:rRNA from 1 species
GGCAGCAGCUAAGAAUAUUCCACAAUGGACGAAAGUCUGAUGGAGCGACGCCGCGUGGGCGAUGAAGGCCGUGAGGUUGUAAGGCCCUUUUCUUGAGGGGGAAUAAUGCGGGCAGGGAAUGGCCUGCAGAUGACGUGAAUCAAGGAAUAAGCCCCGGCUAACUACGUGCCAGCAGCCGCGGUAACACGUAGGGGGCGAGCGUUGUUCGGAAUCAUUGGGCGUAAAGGGCGCGCAGGCGGCCGUGUAAGUCUGGUGUAAAAUGGUUGUGCUCAACACAAUCAUGCGCUGGAAACUGCGGGGCUUGAGUCAACGAGGGGAUGCCGGAAUUCCAGGUGUAGGGGUGAAAUCUGUAGAUAUCUGGAAGAACACCAGUGGCGAAGGCAGGCAUCUGGCGACUGACUGACGCUGAGGCGCGAAGGUGCGGGGAGCAAACAGGUUUAGAUACCCUGGUAGUCCGCACAGUAAACGAUGUGCACCAGGUGGCGGGCAGCAGUGCUCGGUACCGAAGCAAACGCAUUAAGUGCACCGCCUGGGGAGUAUGCCCGCAAGGGUGAAACUCAAAGGAAUUGACGG